UGUACUGCUUGUUAAGCCUACAAGACGUUACGGUCGUGUUCAUUGUUUAUUCCUCAUGUUUGUAGUGUUCUGAGGUAAAUAAAUUCAACGAUGAACACUUACCAUGCUGCGCUUUGGUCCACUCCUUUUGACGGUCGUGACAGUAGGGUUUUUUCUUCCUGGGUUUUUGUGGGUUAUUAUAUUUUGAGUAGUGUUUGUUUCUCUCUGCAUCACGGUUUGUUUUGUCAAUUUAGUUUUUUAUGUAUUGCAAAGUUUUACGGAUUUAAUAAAAUGUGGAACUACAACCACGCUGCACUUUGGUCCGAUCCUUUCGACAGCCGUGACAACAUCCCACAGUCCACACCCCCUCAAUAAAGAUCUGUUGCUCCCCAACCCCCAUCACUUAUUUGGGACAGGCCAGCUCCAGCUCCAACUUGGUUCACUAUAGUACGUCCAACUACAUAAAAACAGAGACAAUGGAAGGAACCCAAGCCUGCACCACAGUGCCAUCUUACCUGGGAUGGUCCAUUUUCAACACUUUAUGCUGCUGUCUCCCAAUUGGAAUUGCGGCAAUAGUUUGCUCAUGCAAGGCGGAUAAUGCAAACGCAGUUGGAGAGGCAACAGUGGCUGCAGAGGCGUCCAGGAUGGCCAAGAUCCUCAAUAUCGUUGGAUUUGUUGUUGGGAUUGUGUUGCUCAUCAUUGUUGUUGCACUGAAACUCACUAGUCGGGAGUGAAAAAGGAGAAUAUGUUUUUGUUCCAUCUUUUGCCCUUUGCAUUCCUUUUUACGACUUCAUACAACACACCAGCCCAGACAUACCCUGAUGAGGACAAGCUGUGCUCUAACUGAGCCCCAGUGUUAACAAACGCCUUGAAAGCAAUUAACUGACCAGCUCUUGCGUUCCAUGCUCAGAGACAUCUAGGUAGAACUUGACUGUAGAUGUUGCAGUUGCUGGUUUGAGAAAAUAUAUGAAGCUUCCCGACUGUCAAAUGUAAUAAUAAACACAUGAAUCCGCCAUAAUUCAUCGUCUUUGUUUAUUUACUUCCAAGCACUUCUGAGACAUAGAAUUGUUGAUAUAAGCAAUACAGGCAUAACGGUUUACAUCAAAAGUACAGACUGAUCAUUGCAAAAAGUUGAUAAAUCAGUCUUAGAUUUUUGAAACGUUUUUAAUACUUAUCUGUCCUCCUACAGUGUCCUGUGUCAAUACUGUGUAUACCAAUUUUCUAAAACUCAAAACCUCUACUACAAUCUAGAUUUGAACACCACAAUGUUUCAGCCCCACAGCAGCCGCUGCCAUUUCAGCAGGGAGGUGGAACUGAAGAAAUUCAACCACUGUCAAAUUCAUACACUCAGCUAUGGAUACAAGGGUUAUCAAAAAGAUUGAUAUGAUAGUUUUAAACAUACACAUUUCUUUAAAUUAUACAAUUAUUAACAAAAACUAAGAUGACAAAAAAAAGCAAAAACAUGGACCAUUGCAACCUAUAUUUUGGAUUAUUAUACUAAGUUCAUAAGGCAUUUAUAAGUUAUAUUCCUCAAGAGCCAAUGGGUAUUCAUUGAUAUGACCAUUGAACAGCAGGAAAUAUCACAGAUUGUGCCUGCAACUGACAACAGCAACUGAUGAUCCUAAAAAUUAUCUCAACACACAUAGGGUUGAAGGACACCUCCUGUGCCACCCUCCCAGCAUUCUAGUCCCAGUGGGCAAACCUGGUUGCAGUGAUGUCAGUCUGAUCUCUUUUAUGACGUCAUGGUCAGUUUGGAUACAAAUUGUAAAAUGAUAGGUGUGUGAGUGUGCAUGAAGAACCUCUCCGUCACACUUCCAAGGAGAACGUUUUGGUCUUUCAUCAGUUGCCAGUUCAUACACAACUGUGUUUUUUCCAAGCAGAUCAGCCAUCAUUAAUUGUACUCAAUACUGUAUGUGAUGGGCUCUCAACAUUUUCCGUUCCGACGCUUACUAAAAUGCUUUCCCAAAAUCCGGGGACCCCUAAAUCAUGUCAUAGGCCCCCCUGGUUGAGAAUCAGUAUUUUCCUCCUGGGCUUUGUGACGCACUUCCAUGGUUCGGAGCCCCAAGCUCUUCUCUCUCAACAGCCUUUCAACAUGGAGGAACACCAAAUCCUCCCUGUGCUUCUGCAGGAGUCCCUCCACCUCCUGCUCAAGAAAAAGACACCAAACAGGAAUGGAACAUGAUAAUUGCCAAAGACAGUUGUUUUCCAUCACCAUCGUGUGGAAUGCUUUAGAAAUAAACUCCGUAUCACUUUAUUUUAAAAGACCAAAAUAGAUGGUUUCUUUAUUGUUUCUAGCUAUCAUAAUCGUUGAGGUGAAACGCCAGCAAGAC
rnacentral:lncRNA from 1 species